CCAGACUCCUACGGGAGGCAGCAGUGGGGAAUAUUGCACAAUGGGGGAAACCCUGAUGCAGCGACGCCGCGUGAGUGAAGAAGUAUUUCGGUAUGUAAAGCUCUAUCAGCAGGGAAGAAAAUGACGGUACCUGACUAAGAAGCCCCGGCUAACUACGUGCCAGCAGCCGCGGUAAUACGUAGGGGGCAAGCGUUAUCCGGAUUUACUGGGUGUAAAGGGAGCGUAGACGGCAUGGCAAGUCAGAUGUGAAAGCCCGGGGCUCAACCCCGGGACUGCAUUUGAAACUGUCAGGCUGGAGUGCAGGAGAGGCAAUCGGAAUUCCGUGUGUAGCGGUGAAAUGCGUAGAUAUACGGAGGAACACCAGUGGCGAAGGCGGAUUGCUGGACAGUAACUGACGCUGAGGCGCGAAAGCGUGGGGAGCAAACAGGAUUAGAUACCCGAGUA
rnacentral:rRNA from 1 species